rnacentral:rRNA from 1 species
AGUGAACGCUGGCGGUAGGCCUAACACAUGCAAGUCGAACGGCAGCACAGUAAGAGCUUGCUCUUACGGGUGGCGAGUGGCGGACGGGUGAGGAAUACAUCGGAAUCUACUUUUUCGUGGGGGUUAACGUAGGGAAACUUACUCUAAUACCGCAUCCGACCUACGGUUGAAAGCAUGGGAUCUUCUGACCUUGCGCGAUUGAAUGAGCCGAUGUCGGAUUAGCUAGUUGGCGGGUUAAAGGCCCACGAAGGCGACGAUCCGUAGCUGGUCUGAGAGGAUGAUAAGCGACACUGGAACGGAGACACGGUCCAGAGUCCUAAGGGAGGGAGCAGUGGGGAAUAUUGGACAAUGGGCGCAAGCAUGAUCCAGCCAGACCGCGUGGGUGAAGAAGGCCUUCGGGUUGUAAAGACCUUUUGUUGGGAAAGAAAAGCAGCAGGUUAAGACCCCGCUGUUCUGACGGUACCCAAAGAAUAAGCACCGGCUAACUUCGUG